rnacentral:rRNA from 1 species
CCCAGACUCCUACGGGAGGCAGCAGUGGGGGAUAUUGCACAAUGGGGGAAACCCUGAUGCAGCGACGCCGCGUGAGUGAAGAAGUAAUUCGUUACGUAAAGCUCUCUCAGCAGGGAAGAAAAUGACGGUACCUGACUAAGAAGCCCCGGCUAACUACGUGCCAGCAGCCGCGGUAAUACGUAGGGGGCAAGCGUUAUCCGGAUUUACUGGGUGUAAAGGGGGCGCAGACGGCAGCGCAAGCCAGGAGUGAAAGCCCGGGGCCCAACCCCGGGACUGCUCUUGGAACUGCGCGGCUGGAGUGCAGGAGGGGCAGGCGGAAUUCCUGGUGUAGCGGUGAAAUGCGUAGAUAUCAGGAGGAACACCGGUGGCGAAGGCGGCCUGCUGGACUGCGACUGACGUUGAGGCCCGAAAGCGUGGGGAGCAAACAGGAUUAGAUACCCUAGUAUA